UACGUAGGUGGCAAGCGUUGUCCGGAAUUAUUGGGCGUAAAGAGCGUGUAGGCGGUUUUACAGGUCCGCUGUGAAAACUCGAGGCUCAACCUCGAGCUGUCGGUGGAAACCGUAAGGCUAGAGUCCGGAAGAGGAGAGUGGAAUUCCUGGUGUAGCGGUGAAAUGCGCAGAUAUCAGGAAGAACACCCGUGGCGAAGGCGGCUCUCUGGGACGGCACUGACGCUGAGACGCGAAAGCGUGGGGAGCGAACAGG
rnacentral:rRNA from 1 species